rnacentral:rRNA from 1 species
GGGUGCGAUCAUAACAACGUUAAUGCAUCGGAUCCCAUCAGAAAUCCGCAGUUAAACGCACCUUUUCUAGAGUAGUACUGUGAUGGGUGACCUCCUAGGAAGUCCUAGUGUUGCACCCU